UCCUACGGGAGGCAGCAGUGGGGAAUAUUGCACAAUGGGCGCAAGCCUGAUGCAGCAACGCCGCGUGAGGGACGAAGGCCUUCGGGUUGUAAACCUCUUUUAGUAGGGAAGAAGCGACUGGGUUUUCCUGGGAGUGACGGUACCUGCAGAAAAAGCACCGGCUAACUACGUGCCAGCAGCCGCGGUAAUACGUAGGGUGCAAGCGUUGUCCGGAAUUAUUGGGCGUAAAGAGCUCGUAGGCGGUUUGUCGCGUCUGCUGUGAAAACCCGAGGCUCAACCUCGGGCCUGCAGUGGGUACGGGCAGACUAGAGUGCGGUAGGGGAGAUUGGAAUUCCUGGUGUAGCGGUGGAAUGCGCAGAUAUCAGGAGGAACACCAAUGGCGAAGGCUGAUCUCUGGGCCGUAACUGACGCUGAGGAGCGAAAGCAUGGGGAGCGAACAGGAUUAGAUACCCUGGUAGUCCAUGCCGUAAACGUUGGGAACUAGAUGUGGGGACCGUUCCACGGUCUCCGUGUCGCAGCUAACGCAUUAAGUUCCCCGCCUGGGGAGUACGGCCGCAAGGCUAAAACUCGAAGGAAUUGACGGGGGCCCGCACAAGCGGCGGAGCAUGCGGAUUAAUUCGAUGCAACGCGAAGAACCUUACCAAGGCUUGACAUAUACCGGAAACGGCUGGAAACAGUCGCCCCGCAAGGUCGGUAUACAGGUGGUGCAUGGUUGUCGUCAGCUCGUGUCGUGAGAUGUUGGGUUAAGUCCCGCAACGAGCGCAACCCUCGUCCUAUGUUGCCAGCACGUAAUGGUGGGAACUCGUGGGAUACUGCCGGGGUCAACUCGGAGGAAGGUGGGGAUGACGUCAAAUCAUCAUGCCCCUUAUGUCUUGGGCUUCACGCAUGCUACAAUGGCCGGUACAAAGGGCUGCGAUACCGCAAGGUGGAGCGAAUCCCAAAAAGCCGGUCUCAGUUCGGAUUGAGGUCUGCAACUCGGCCUCAUGAAGUCGGAGUCGCUAGUAAUCGCAGAUCAGCAACGCUGCGGUGAA
rnacentral:rRNA from 1 species